rnacentral:rRNA from 1 species
AUGAGAACAGAUCCUAAGCAUUGGGCCAGAGCUUUUUUCCCUCUGGGUUCAAUGUGUGACUCAGUGGACAAUAACUUAUGUGAGUCUUUCAACAAUUCAAUUAUUGAGGCCAGAUUAUAUCCUUGCAUAUCAAUGCUGGAAAAGGUCAAACAAAAUAUCAUGGCAGGUCUACCUUGCUGCCAUGCUAUCAGUGCUAUAUAUAAGAGUGACAGAAGAAUUGAAGAGUUCAUUGACAAGUGA